rnacentral:misc_RNA from 1 species
UAAAAAAAAAUUAAAAUCAAGGGUGUAAAGUCGCGCUUACAAAUUAGUGAAAAUUUUAUGAAUACGCGUUAGUUUUUAGUGAAGAAAAAUUAUGUAAGGGAGAAAAUAAAUAAAUUUUAAUAAAAUGAAAAUAAAUAUUUGUUUAUGUUUUUAUUAAGUUAAAUUAUUAUUACUUUAUUUUAUUGUACUAUGAAUCGAAAUCAACUUAAUAUUAUUUUUAUAAUUUCUGUGAUUUUCUUCCUAUCAACGAUGUUGACUCAAGCGGCUCGGUUUCCUGUACAACAAAUUGAUCCGUGUAGGACUGUUUGCCAAGACUUACCAGAGAACGAUACUGAACCAGUUUGUAUGAUGUUCAGUAGAUACAAACGGGGCUAUCAGUUCUUUGUAAAUAUGUGUCAUGCGAGACGAACAAUAUGUAGAGAUAAGUUGA